UGCCGCGUGAGUGAUGAAGGCCUUAGGGUUGUAAAGCUCUUUCGGUGGGGACGAUAAUGACGGUACCCGCAGAAGAAGCCCCGGCUAACUUCGUGU
rnacentral:rRNA from 1 species